rnacentral:lncRNA from 1 species
AUGACAUCUUGGUCUAUUCAAGAGAUGAGACCGAACAUACUGAGCAUCUGAGGCUAGUGCUGCAAAUUUUGCGGGAUAAGCAGUUAUAUGCUAAGUUCAGUAAGUGUGAGUUCUGGUUAAGAGAGGUUAGCUUCUUGGGUCAUGUGGUAUCCGCGUCCGGUAUUCGUGUUGACCCGAACAAAAUUUCAGCCAUACUUGACUGGAAACCUCCGAGAAAUAUUACUGAAGUUCGGAGCUUUUUGGGGCUCGCCGGUUAUUACCGACGAUUUGUGAAAGGUUUCUCGAUGAUAGCCACACCAAUGACGAAGCUACUUCAAAAGGAUGUUAAGUUCGAGUGGACGGAGAAAUGUCAGAAAAGUUUCGACCAACUGAAAACUCAUUUGACUGAAGCUCCAAUUUUGGUGCAACCCGAAUCAGGUAAAGAGUUUGUCAUUUAUAGUGACGCAUCCCUACUUGGGUUGGGUUGCGUAUUGAUGCAAGAAGGUCGAGUCGUGGCCUAUGCGUCGAGACAAUUGAAGCCACACGAGAGGAAUUAUCUGACCCAUGAUCUCUAACUAGCUGCCAUCGUAUUUGCUUUAAAAAUAUGGCGACAUUACUUAUUUGGUGAGAAGUGCCAUGUAUUUUCGGAUCACAAAAGUCUCAAAUAUUUGAUGACUCAACGAGACUUGAAUCUGCGACAAAGACGUUGGCUUGAGUUGUUGAAAGAUUACGAGCUUGUCAUUGAUUACCACCCGGGAAAGGCUAACGUGGUUGCGGACGCCUUAAGCCGGAAGUCAUUGUUUGCUUUACGAGCGAUGAAUGUGCAUUUGUCUAUUCUACCAGACAAUGUGUUAGUAGCUGAAUUAAAAGCUAAACCAUUAUUGACUCACCAAAUUCGUGAAGCUCAGAAAGUCGAUGAUGAAUUGGUUGCAAAACGGGCUAAGUGUGUUCCGAACGAGGAAUCGGAGUUUCAAAUUGAUGAUGAUGAUUGUUUGAGGUUCAGAAAUCGUUUGUGUGUUCCAAGAAAUUCGGAACUCAUUUCGAUGAUUCUGAACGAAGCCCAUUGUAGCCGAAUGUCAAUUCACCCGGGGAGUACGAAAAUGUACAACGAUUUGAAACGUCAAUUUUGGUGGCAUGGUAUGAAACGGGACAUCUCCGACUUUGUUUCGAGAUGUUUAAUAUGUCAACAAGUGAAAGCGGAACAUCAAGUGCCUUCAGGAUUACUCCAGCCGAUCAUGAUACCCGAGUGGAAAUGGGAUCGAGUCACAAUGGACUUUGUGUCCGGACUGCCCUUGUCAGCAAGUAAGAAGGAUGCGAUAUGGGUUGUUGUUGAUAGACUGACUAAGUCGGCUCAUUUCAUCCCCGUACGUACGGAUUUUUCAUUGGAUAAACUAGCUGAAUUGUACGUUUAUCAAAUUGUGAGAUUACACGGGGUACCUGUUUCUAUCGUGUCGGAUAGAGAUCCGAGAUUCACCUUACGAUUUUGGAAGAAAUUGCAAGAAGCUCUGGGUACCAAGCUGCAUUUUAGCACUGCUUUUCACCCCCAAACCGAUGGUCAAUCCGAGCGGAUAAUUCAGAUACUUGAGGAUAUGUUGAGAUGUUGCAUCCUCGAGUUCAGUGGUUCAUGGGAACGGUAUUUACCUUUGAUUGAAUUCGCUUACAAUAAUAGUUUUCAAUCAAGUAUUAAGAUGGCACCUUACGAGGCUUUGUACAGUCGUAAAUGCCGUACACCGUUGUUUUGGAUCGAGCUCGGUGAAAGUAAAAUUUUCGGAGUUGAUUUGAUUAAGGAUGCUGAACAGAAAGUAAAGGUAAUCCGUGAAAGUCUGAAAGCAGCCACAGAUCGUCAAAAAUCGUAUGCGGAUUUGAAACGAAAGGACAUUGAAUAUCAGGUGGGAGAUAAAGUGUUCCUUAAAGUUUCACCUUGGAAAAAGGUACUCAGGUUUGGCCGUAAGGGCAAGUUGAGCCCGAGAUUCAUUGGGCCGUACGAAAUCUCCGAACGAGUUGGUCCGGUUGCGUAUAGAUUGAUUUUGCCCCCUGAGCUUGAAAAGAUUCACGACGUCUUUCAUGUUUCGAUGCUUCGACGCUAUCGAUCUGAUCCGUCGCACAUAAUUAGCCCAUCAGAGGUUGAAAUUCAAGCCGAUAUGAGUUAUGAAGAAGAGCCGAUGCAUAUCCUAGCUCGUGAAGUGAAGGAGUUGCGAAACAAAAGGGUUCCAUUAGUGAAGGUUUUAUGGCUCAAACACGGGAUCGAGGAAGCUACUUGGGAAACCGAGAGCUCGAUGAAAGAACGAUACCCAAACCUAUUUACCGGUAAGAUUUUCGGGGACGAAAAUUUCUUAAGUGGGGGGAGAGUUGUGACAGCCCAAAAUUGACCCUAGUCGGGAAGUGGUUUCGGGACCACAAAACCGAGUCAUAAAAAUAAUUGAUUUCCAUAUUCUAUGCUUAUUAUGUGUGUACAUGAGUAUGUGGAAGUUUCAUUCUCCAAUUUUGCCAAUUGCAUGAGAAAUUAUUAAAUAGGGAUUGAUAUGAGACAUGGUGAAAAUAUGAUAGGCUAAUUUAAAAUGGUCUAUUAAUGCAUGUUGUGAAAAUGAUGGGUUUGCAUGUCAAAUUACCCAAAAUUUGAGCUAGUGGUUGGCCAUGCUAUGGGUGGAAACAUGUUGGGAACAUGUUGGCCUAGUGAGGUAUGUAGGAAAAAAAUAAAAUAAGGGGCAUGGGCAUAAAAUAAUGAAAAGGAGUAUGAUGAAUACAAAAAAAAAUGUGUGUAGUUGUUUCUCCCCCCCCCAUUGCCGUGAGCUAAAGAAAAGAAAGGAGAAAAUUUUUGUUCAUCCUUUCUCAUCUUCAUUUAGCCGAAACUAGAAAGAAAAAAAAAACAAAGAAAAAAAAAUGCUCAUCCUUUGGUUCAUCCUUGGCCAAAAAUUUUAAGGAGGAAGGAAGAAGAAAGGUUGAAGAGGUUCGGCCAUGCAUGUAGCUAGGCUAAGGUAUGUUUGAUGAUGUUCCAUGAGAUGCAUGCAUGUUUUAGUUGUUAGCUUGAGUUCUACCUAGCCCAUGGUCUAAAUCUUGCUAUGUGAUGGAAAUGACACUCGGCCAUGGAUGCAUCAUUCUUGGUUGAUGUUUGAUGUUGUGGUGAUGAGGCAUGAGGAUGAGUUAAGAUUCGGCCUAGGUGGAGUUUGUGUUAAUGCCAUUGCAUGCUAAAUAUGAAGUUUGUUAAUGAUGCAUGUGAUGAUGACUUGAUGAUUCUUGAACCUCCUUUUUAGCAUUUUUGUGUGAGCACAUAUGUGCAUUGGUUGCUAAAUGGAGAAGAAUCGGCUAGCAAGUUGUGUGCUAAGGCCGAAUGUAACUUUGCAUGUUAAUGAGCAAUGCAUGUGUUAAAUUGAUGGAAAGGGGGAGGAUGCUUUACUAGUGUGUAUAUGUGUGUAUUAAGUGUUGAAAUCGACCCCAAAAAUAGACAUGCAUAUUCGGCCAAGGGGGAAAAAAAUUAGCUAAUAUGUUGUGUUGAUGCAUGAUUUCACAUGUAUGUGACUUUGAUGUCUAAUGUAUAAAUAUGGGCUAAGUGCUUCGUGUUCAUCUUUUUGAUGCCUAAAUGAUGAAAUCAAUUUAUUUGUUUAAUUAAGCUCAAGAGCAAAGGGGAAAUAGAUCCGAUAAAGGGAAGGAAAAAGUGGUCGAAUAGUUAGCGGAAUCGUUCGACAACACCCGAGGUAAGUUCUUGAGUAAGAGAGCUUAAAUUACGAUGUGAUUAAAUCAUGUUUUAAGCAAAUUAAAAUCAUGCUCUAUGUGUGGCUAUUGAGCCGAAUGUGCAAGGAUGGUAUGUGCCUUGUGUUUGAGUUUUGCUAAUGAAAAAGAAAUACGAAUGUGCCAUGAAUUAUUGUUAGAUGUGCAUGAUUAAUUGAAUGCUGUCCGGGCUAAGUCCCGAAGGCUUUGUGCUAAGUGACUAUAUCCGGACUAAGAUCCGAAGGUAUUUGUGCGAGUUAUUAAUUCCGGGUUAAGUCCCGAAGGCCUUUGUGCGAGAUACUAAUUCCGGGUUAAGUCCCGAAGGCAUUCGUGCGAGUUUUAAAAUCCGGGUUAAGUCCCGAAGGCAUUGAAUGAGUUACUAUAACCGGGCUAUGUCCCGAAGGCACUUGAACGAGGAGCUAAAUCCGGUUAAAUUCCGAAGGUACGUGAUUUUGGUAAUGAAUGAGCUUGCUGUAAAAUUCCAGCUAAUACUCGAAAAACAUCCCAAUAUUGGGAUAUGUUACGUAUGUGUUGAAUUUAAUCGAGCCCUUACAAAUAAAUAUUCGCUCAGUUGAUGAACGAGCUACCGGCCUUUGGCUGAGUUGAUCUUUUGUGUAUGUACAUAAGGGUUGAUAAUGUGAAGCAAGUACGAUAUCGUAAAUUUGUGCAUAUGAAAUUAUCCGUUUAGCUAUAUGAAUGCUAUACUUUUGUUGUGCUGGAAUUCCUUGCUCAAAACUUACUAAGCAUAAAUUGCUUACUUCGUUUCAUUGCUCCUCUGUUUUAUAGAUUUGGUUCUCCAGCUAUCGGACUCGGGAUCUUGAAGUCAAAGUCGCCCACACUAUCAAAGCCCCCCCUUUUUGGUACAAUUUUGGUUGAACUUCGAAAUGGCAUGUAUAGGACUACCCGUUUGUUGUGGGUCGUGGACCCUUUGGACUUGUAUAAAUUUUGGAUAGCCAUGCGAAAAUGGCUUAUAUGUGUUUGAGUAUAAUGUUAUAAUCAUUUGGUGUGGAUAUGCUUGACAAGGAUUGGCCACGGGGAUGGUUAAUCACUUUCAUAAAUUGUGCUAUUUAUGCAAAAAGGGCUAGUUGAAUCAUGGAAACCAUGAAAUAGGUAAAGUCUACCUUAAAGGCAGAUGCUGACAGCAGCAGUGAUGUAGAUUUGAAAAAUCACUAAAAAUAGUAGGAAUGGAAUUAAAUAGUGAAUAAAUUAUGUAAACAAACCUUGAUGAAUCUACUUUCAUAGGAAAGUAACGAAACAAUCAUACGGACAGUAUGUUAAGAGAUAUUCAGGUUCUUGUGAGACAGGGCCAGAACGGUUUCUGGAUUCCCUGUUCCGACUUUGGAAAUUCAUUAUAAAUUAACCAGAGAUAAUUAGGAGUCAUACCAUAUAUGUAUAGAUUCCUCUCUGAGUCUAGUUUCUAUAGAAACAAAUUGAAUCAGUAUUGGAGCCCUGUACAAGGAGAUAUUCAAGUCGUAAUGCGCAAAGGUCAGGGUAGUCGAUCCCUGUAACAUGGGAGACUUUAACUAAUAAACUGUACUAAUUGGCCUGAUCAAAAAUUCUAGAAAAAAAUAUGUAGAUGGGAAUAUGAGUCUAGUUUCAGGGAAAAAUUACGAAACUGAUUUUCGAGUUGUGAAGCUCAAGAUAUUAUUUUUAAAGCGACUAGUACACAGAUUGGGCAGUGUCUGGAAAUUUUUCAAAGUUUGUUAACACCUCGUGUUCGACUCCGGUGUCGGACUCGGGUUCGGGGUGUUACACAUUACACGUGCAAAAUCUAAGAAAAUACCCCACGAAUAUUCUACCAUAGUAGGUAUUCAAGAAUCAGUCCAUGAAAUUUUAAUGAAUUUGAAAGAAAUUGUAUUGAGAGGGAAUUUGUAUGGAACUCGUAACGCCUUUAUUUGUGCCAAGGGUCCCGGAUAUGUAACUGCUUAAGACAUCAUCUUACCACCUUCUGUGGAAAUCGUUGAUAAUACACAGCAUGUAGCCAGACUAACCGAACCAAUUGAUUUUUGUAUUGGAUUACAAAUCGAGAGAAAUAGAGGAUACGGUAUAAAAACGCCAAAGAACUUUCACGAUGGAAGUUAUCCUAUAGAUGCUGUAUUCAUGCCUGUUCGAAAUGCGAAUCAUAGUAUUCAUUGUUAUGGGAAUGAUAAUGAAAAACAGGAGAUACUUUUUCUAGAAAUAUGGACAAAUGGAAGUUUAACUCUGAAAGAAGCACUUCAUGAAGCCUCUCGCAAUUUGAUUGAUUUAUUUAUUCCUUUUCUACAUGCGGAAGAAGAAAACUUCUAUUUAGAAAACAAUCAACACGAUGUUACUUUACCUUUUUUUCCGUUUCAUGAUGAUUAGUUAAACUAACAAAAAAGAAAAAAGAAAUAGCAUUGAAAUCGAUUUUUAUUGACCAAUCAGAAUUGCCUCCCAGGAUCUAUAAUUGUCUCAAAAAGUCCAAUAUACAUACAUUAUUGGACCUUUUGAAUAACAGUCGAGAAGACCUUAUGAAAAUUGAACACUUUCGCAUAGAAGAUGUAAAACAAAUACUGGGCAUUCUAGAAAAGAAGUAGAAAAAGCAUUUCGAAAUUGAUUUAUCAAAAUUUUUAAUCUAAUGGAUUUUGAACCUUCAGCACAAUCCAUAGAUUCGGACCAGAAUUGAAUAAAUGUAUCUAGGGAGAAUUAACUUUUCCUUUGAAGUGACUACUCCCUAGAUACACACAUCAUGAUAUUUUUUUUAAUUGAUUCAAUUUAAAAAAGACCUAAAGUUAGGGAUUUAUCAAUCGGUAAUGCUGCUCCAAUACCCAACCAAAGGGCUACUGCAGUACCAAUCAAAAAAACGGUUGUCGCUACUGGACGACUAAAUGGAUUUUGGAAUUUAUUAACAUUUUCCAAAAACGGUACUGUUAAUAAUCCCGCGGGUACUGAAACCAUUAAAAGAACACCCAAUAACUUGUUAGGUACUGUACGAAGUAUUUGAAAUACAGGAAAGAAAUACCAUUCAGGUAAUAUUUCCAAAGGAGUUGCAAAUGGAUCCGCGGGUUCACCAAUCAUUGAAGGUUCUAGAACCGCUAAGCCCACAUUACAAGCAAUAGUACCAAGAAUUACUACUGGAAAAAUAUAUAAAAGAUCAUUGGGCCAUGCGGGUUCCCCAUAAUAAUUAUGACCCAUACCUUUAGCUAAUUUAGCUCUUAAUACAGGAUCGUUCAAGUCAGGUUUUUUUGUUAUUAGGAUAGGUGAAUUUUUCUAGAUCCAUCCCCCAAAGGAACCGGACAUGAUAAUUUUUCAUCAUCCGGCUCAAGCAAAAGUCAAUCGAAUCAAAUGGAUACAAACAGAUACCUAUAAAAUAAAUCUAUAUUCUAUAUGUUUAAAAUAAAUCUAUAUGUUAUCCCCACAUAUAUGAAUGGUUCCGUAUGUAAGAAAAAAGGUACCCAAUUCCAUUUUACGGAGUUGCAAUUAUACAUUCCAAGGAAUUUCAUUUUUACAGGUAAAUGCUCAAUACCCAAGUAGGCGUACAAAGUUGAUCGUGAUCAAGUGCUUUAUGGGUCGUCUUAGGCCUUGCGAUUCACCUUUAUCCCAAAAAUAUAUCGAGAUUUUUUACAUACAAAGGAUUUACUUGUUACUAAUAUAGUCUAGCCUUUGCUCUUCUUUAGAUCCCUUGUUUCACUCCGAUAGUAUAAUUAAAUCGGGUCGAUGCAGAAGAAAUGAAUGCAUUUUCAUACUAUUAAGAUAAGAAAGUAAAAAAAAACUAAAAUCUAAUUUGGAUUAUGCCAAAUCCCUUAUUCUACUGGAUCUUACGGAGCCCUAUUUAUACACAACACCGUCAGGUCUGAUCAUAGAAAAGAUUCUCUUCAAGCGAACCAGCCUAUCCUUUGUAUGGGGCUUACACGGUGGUUGAAACAAAGACACAUUUGGUUGUGAAUUCCAAUGUAGCAGAUAAAGGCAUAUUUCUGCACGGCCCAAUCAAUAGUUCAAGUCACACACUCCCAUAAUCCAUUUUCUCUUCGGGGAAUUCCCUUCAACUAUUCAUGUCAUAUCAAAUAAAUAAUAGAAUAUUUUUGUAGUUGAAAGGAAAUAUCCAAAUACAUGUCUUAUUUUCUUUCAAUAAUCCAUAUUUGUAGCAAUAAAAUACUAUUGCUCCUCCCCCAAGUAAUAAGAUAAAUUAUUGGUUACAAUAUAGCUAUGGUCUAUAUUCUCUAUAAAGGACCAGAAAUGCCUUGCUUACGUAUCAUUAGGAAAUGCAUUAACAUAAAUACAGCAGUAAGAAGGGGUAAUACAAAAGUGUAUAAACUAUAAAAACGGGUCAAAGUGGAUUGUCCCACACUAGCACUUCCACGUAAUAACUCUACCAAAGGUGAUCCUAUUACCGGAAUAGCAUCCGGAACGCCUGUUACGAUUUUGACUGCCCAAUAACCAACUUGGUCCUGAGGUAAGGAAUAACCUGUUACGCCAAAAGAUGCGGUCAACACAGCCAGAACCACGCCUGUAACCCAAGUUAAUUCACGAGGUUUUUUAAAACCACCAGUGAGAUAGACACGAAAUACGUGCAGGAUCAUCAUUAAGACCAUCAUACUUGCCGACCAUCGAUGAACUGAUCGGAUUAACCAACCAAAGUUAGCUUCAGACAUUAUGUAUUGAACAGAAGCAAAAGCCUCAGUAACGGUUGGACGAUAGUAAAAAGUCAUAGCAAAUCUUGUAGCUACUUGUACCAAAAAACAAGUAAGCGUAAUUCCUCCUAGACAAUAAAAUAUGUUAACAUGAGGAAGAACAUAUUUACUAGUUAUAUCAUCUGCAAUCGCCUGAAUUUCGAGGCGCUCUUCGAACCAAUCAUAGACUUUAUUGAGAUAGGUAAACCAAGAGGACCCCCUACGAGAACCGUAUAUGAGAAUUUCAUCUCGUACAGCUCAAACAAAAACACCCAAGUAAUAGCUGAAACGGAUAUGGAAUAGAAAGUUUGAAACUUCUUAAUCUUUUCAUUCAAUUUUAUCUGAAGACACAAAAGAGUGAAAAUCUGAAAGCUCUUUUUUGUAGUUGUAAUUAUAAUGCUAGAAAAUCAAGUCGGCGCAGUCGUCUUUAUAUUGAUCGUUACAGGCCUCUUGAAUCUUCUAUUUACCUACUUAUUUCUUUUUCUUUACUUUGAUUUGUUCUUUGUAUGAAAUGUGGCUUUAUUCUUGUUUUCUUUCUUUUUGAUAGGAAUUCUCUUGUUAAGACCCUAUGAAUCAAUUGAAACUUCAGAUUCAUACCAGAACCGCGAUGAUUCAAUAAAACCUUCAAACUAAGUCCAAAGAUUCUUUGAGUAAGAACCAUUGGAUCAUCACUUAUUCAAUCAAUAGAAUAGAUAUAAUAAAAAAAAUACAAAGAAAAGAAAGGUUUGUCCUUUGAUCAAAAUAAGCAUAAACUAAAUGAGAUUUUGAAAGAAUAAAAAAUCUUUCGAUUUAUAAAUAAUAUAACUCUUUCUUUGAAUCUUUUUUUGAGUCUGGCCGCGAGGUUUGAAUAUUAAGUAUGAAUCAUAGUUCAAAUACUUUGUGAUCCAUUUCAUAUAUUUCGUGCUCCAGAUACUAGAAUGACUAUCCGACGGGAUAAAACUAUCUCGAUCAAGAUGACAGACCUAUUUUCUGUACUAUCAAUAGGAUCAAUUAUAACAAGUCACACACUCAUAUUCCGAAAAUACAGAAACAAAUAAAUUUCGCGGUCGAACUACCGAAAUAGAAUGGGGCUAAAAAAAUCCGAGAACUAAAAGUUUCACUUUUUGUAUUGAAAAGUGAGGCUUCGUGAUUCUUGUGAAUCUAAUUCAUUGAAAUUCCAUCCAGUAAAACGGAAGAAUUAUAAAUCUCCAAAAUAAUAGAUAAGAAUAUCGCAAAUAAAGCCAUUGCGACACCCAUCAAAGGAGUCGUUCCCCAUCCAGGGGCUACCUUACCAUAUUCCGAAUUCAAUGUUUUCAAAAAAUCCCCUACAACAGUUCGUCUUGGACCAGAUCUAGAACUACCCUCAACGGUUUGUGUAGCCAUAAAUCUAAUUUUGUAUUCAGUGAGAUCUGUUGACUUUGUAUAUCAUUCCACUGUAAAUAAAAAAUCUUAUCAUAGACCCAUUGUGAUCUUGAAAUUAUAUAAUAAUGGAAACAGCAACCUUAGUCGCCAUCUCUAUAUCUGGUUUACUUGUAAGUUUUACUGGGUACGCCUUAUAUACUGCUUUUGGGCAACCCUCUCAACAAUUAAGAGAUCCAUUCGAGGAACACGGGGACUAAUUGAAGUAAUGAGCCUCCCAAUAUUGGGAGGCUCAUUACUUCAAUUGAGAUAAUGAAAAAUCAUUUUAUUUUUUUAGUUAGAAUUUUAGGCGGUUCUCGAAAAAAGAUAGCGAAAAAAAUUAUCCCUAGAGUAGAUACUAAGAGGAAUGUAUAAACCAAUGCUUCCAUAAAUUCGAUCGUGGUUUACAAUUAUAGCUUCCGUACCUGUUUAUUUGGAAUCAUCUCCCGAAUAAAAUAAAGAAAGAACAAGAAUCAAAGAAAAGGCAGCGAUUUAAAUCAAGAUUUUUCCAGCAGCCUAUGGCAAAUCACAAAUAGAAGUAGAAGCGAAAAAUAACAAAGCAAUCUUGCAUCAGACUACUUGUCUUCUUGUAGUUGGAUCUCCAAGUUUUUGGAAUGCUCCAAAUUCCACUUGAGCAUCCAAAUCUGGAUCAAUACCGGCAAAAACAUCUCUGAACAUGGUUCUAGCACCAUGCCAAAUGCGUCCGAAGAAGAAAAGCAAGGCAAACGAAGCAUGCCCAAAAGUAAACCAACCCCUCGGACUGCUACGAAAAACACCAUCGGAUUUCAAAGUAGCACGAUCUAAUUCAAAAAUUUCACCCAAUUGAGCACGUCUAGCAUAUUUUUUCACAGUAGCAGGAUCACUAUAACUCACUCCAUUGAGUUUGCCACCAUAGAACUCAACAGUUACACCUACUUGUUCGACACUAUACUUUGAUUCUGCCCUUCUAAAAGGGACAUCCGCUCUAACAAUUCCGUCUCCGUCUACCAAAACAACCGGAAAUGUUUCAAAAAAAGUAGGCAUACGACGUAUAAAAAGUUUACGCCCGUCUUUAUCUCUAAAGAUAGGGUGCCCUAACCACCCAACGGCUAUUCCAUCCCCGUUGUCCAUUGAACCCGCUCUGAAUAAUCCUCCUUUUGCCGGAUUAUUUCCAAUGUAAUCAUAAAAAGCUAAUUUUUCAGGAAUUUUAGACCAAGCUUCUGAUAAACUUUGAUUUUCGGCUAACCCAGCACUAACCCUUCGAUAUAUUUCUUGCUGGAAGUAUCCUUGAUCCCAUUGAUAACGAGUAGGACCAAAUAAUUCGAUGGGGGUAGUUGCUGAACCAUACCACAUAGUUCUGGCAACAACAAAAGCUGCAAAAAAGACAGCAGCUAUACUACUGGAAAGGACGGUUUCAAUAUUUCCCAUACGUAAUCCUUUGUAUAAACGUUGGGGCGGGCGGACACUAAGAUGGAAUAAGCCCGCUAAUAUGCCCAAUGUCCCUGCUGCAAUAUGAUGAGAGGCUAUUCCUCCGGAACAAAAGGAUCAAAACCUUCCACGCCCCACGCCGGAUUUACAGGUUGGACCUUGCCAGUUAGUCCAUAAGGGUCCGACACCCAUAUUCCAGGACCAUACAAUCCUGUUACAUGAAAUGCGCCAAAGCCAAAGCAAGCCACUCCUGAGAGAAAUAAAUGAAUUCCAAAAAUCUUCGGCAAAUCCAAAUAAGGUUUUCCUGUGCGCUCAUCACAAAAAAUUUCUAGAUCCCAAUAUACCCAAUGCCAAAUAGCUGCCAAGAAGCACAAGCCAGAAAACACAAUAUGUGCUCCGGCCACACCUUGUAACUUUAAAUACCCGGAUUUGUUAUAGUCCCCCCUGUAAUACUCCAACCGCCCCAUGAAUUGGUUAUUCCUAAACGAGUCAUGAAAGGUAUAACGAACAUACCUUGUCUCUACAUUGGAUCAAGAACGGGAUCGGAGGGAUCAAAAAUGGCUAAUUCAUAUAGAGCCAUUGAACCGGCCCAACCAGCAACCAGAGCCGUAUGCAUUAUAUGAACAGAAAGCAAGCGACCGGGAUCAUUCAAUACGACAGAAUGAACACGAUACCAAGGCAAACCCAUGGAAAUACCCCUUUAUCAACGAAAAAUAGACACUAUGUAACUUUAUUGCAUUGGAAUACCUCCCCUUUUCGGUGGAUUCUUUCAGAGAAAGGAUUAAUAUUUGUUCUAUUCCAUUAGUAAUUAAGGGAAGAAUUCGGCUCAGAAGAAAAAAGAGAAGCAGAUCUAUUCUAUACCCGAUAAGUAUCAAUACGCAAUGGGGGUUGAUCCUAUUUUUUAUGAAUGAACGCAUCCCUAUUUGUUCGUCAUUCAAAGGACCUAUUGGUAAGAAUUCUCUUUCAUUCAUUCUGUCUUUCUUUAUUUUGUGUCCUUAUUCUAUCUAUGUAUAAAAUAUGAGGCCAAUAUUAUUAAGACCAUUAUUACGCUUCCAGAUUAAAGUGAAAUAUAGUAUUUAAUUCUUUUUCUUUCCUUUAAUGCCUAUUGGUGUUCCAAAAGUUCCUUUUCGAAAUUCGGGAGAGGAAGAUGCAGUUUGGGUUGAUGUAUAGUGCGACUUGUCAAAUAUAUUGGGUCAUAUGGGAUUCCCCCGUUCUCUCUCCCGAUCGAGAUAUCCUCUAUUUCGCCCCAAAAAGAUUGAUUGAAUUAUCAAAAAUUUGUAGCGCGAAGUGUAAUGAAGUGCAAUUAGAGAUCCAUUUCAUUUUUUUUGGGGGGUAUCCAGAUUAAUAUUUUCAAUUAGACUGAUUUAUGGUUGGCUUGGUUGGACCGAAAAAAUGAAGCAUCUAGGCUCCGUUUAGAAAAAACCCAAUUGGUAAUCCAUUUAUGAUUACCACCUAUAUCAUAAUCAUAAAUCUUUUUUAUUUACAAAUUAGAAAUAGAAAUAAGAACAAUUUCAAACUAUUAAUCAAUCGAAUAAUAUGAGAAAUACGUUGAAUAUUUGGCGGAAAACAUGAAAGAAAAAAGAAUUAAAUUAAAAUAAAAAAGGAAAUGAAAUCAUAGCAAAAAGAUGUGGUAUUGGGUCAUUUGUCCUAUAUGCGCAAAUCAAAAUUGGGCGGAUCUUUACUCGGAGUAGAGCAUAAACCUAAAAAAAUUGAAUAAAAAAUUGAUGAAACCCAUUCAGGAACAAGAAAAUGACAUCAUGAUUUGGAUUGAAUCCCAAUGAAAAAAAAUAGAUCAAUGAAAAGUUUGUGCGAUAAGUUUAGCGAAUUUUUUCUAUAUUAUAGAUUAUAGGAAAACGGGCCAAAACUUAUCUUUCUUUAAUUUCAUUUUGAAUUUUAUUUUAAAAAUGUAAGAAAAAGCCCCUUCGUUAGAAAUUAGAAGUUAGAAAAGGCACACUAGAAAAAACGAAGGAUGUCUGGAAUCUACACAUUGAUUUUUUUUCACAAUUUUUGUUGAACCGUAUGCAUCAAAAGGUGCCGUACGGCUACUAAGGGAUACAAUUUUAUCCUAAUCAACUGACUUUAUCGAGAAAGAUUACUUUUUUUAGGCCAAGAGGUUGAUAGCGAGAUCUCGAAUCAACUUAUUGGUCUUAUGGUAUAUCUCAGUAUAGAGAAUGAUACCAAAGAUCUGUAUUUGUUUAUAAACUCUCCUGGCGGAUGGGUAAUACCCAGAGUAGCUAUUUAUGAUACUAUGCAAUUUGUGCAACCAGAUGUGCAUACAAUAUGCAUAGGAUUGGCUGCUUCAAUGGGAUCUUUUCUCCUUGCCGGGAGGGAAAUCUUCUCUUAUGGCCUUCACCUCCCGCCUGGCCCGGAAAUAAAACCCAACCCCCCCUUCUGAUCCAUUCAUUUCUGCAAGCAGGGGGGUCCAGAGUGAAGCCUCCCCUCUAUUGUAUAACAAAAAAGAAGAAGCUAUAAGCAAAGUACCAAAGUGGUUGCAGGAACGAUACGCUUUGGUUACCGGCGAACGCUUCCAAAUUCGACCCUCUCGAGUUUUCGACUGUUUCCUAGAUUGAAGUAGCCUUUCGUCGCCCUAUCAAACGAAAGAAGUCACUAUCAAACAGCUCACCCUACUGAAGUACCAAAGGUGCGCUCCGCCCGGUGACUAAGAAAGAAAUAGGUUUGCGCUUAAAUUGAAGUGAUGAGGUCGCAAAGAGGGAAGUAGGGCUCCUAUUGAAACACUUUCCCUCCCUCAAAAGGCGACCAGCUUUCAAUCCUAGUUGUUACGUUACGCUGCCAUUUUUCCAAUAUCAUUGAAUAGCAUGGCCUGGAGCUAAGGUAACUCAAGUGGGAGAGCCGUGUUAUGGGUGACCUUAUUGCACGGUUCAGAGAGCACUUGUGUAUGUGAUGCAAGUGAACGUGUACGAAAAAGCUGUCGUAAAGUUUCGUUGUUCGUUCCGUCUUUGACCCUAUCUAUGUUUCUAUGAUGGCCCAAGAACACGCUCAUUCUUCAGCCGUAGAGAGACUUUUGAAUUGCGCGGUACCAUUACGAGCUCAAUAUAUACGAGUGUUAUUCCGUGAAAUAACUCGAAUUUCAAAUCAUUCACUUGCUUUAACUACUCAUGCUAUGGAUGUGAGAGCAUCAACUCCGUUCCUGUGGGCUUUUGAGGAGCGGGAGAAAUUGUUGGAAUUCUAUGAAAGAGUCUCGGGAGCCAGGAUGCAUGCCAAUUUCAUACGACCAGGUGGAGUGGCACAAGAUCUGUCUCUUGGCUUAUGUCGAGAUAUUGAUUCCUCCACACAACAAUUUGCUUCUCGUAUCGACGAAUUAGAAGAGAUGUCAACCGGCAACCGUAUCUGGAAACAACGAUUAGUGGAUAUUGGCACUGUCACUGCACAGCAAGCAAAGGAUUGGGGAUUCAGUGGUGUAAUGUUAAGAGGUCGUGCGACAUGAAGACAUUGAUAGCAAUAUGGGGGAAGUUCCCAUCAGGAAACAACGGUUCCGCCUGACCCUACUUAAGCAUGCAUAUUAUGUCAGUGAAGACUUGGUGUGAAGCCUUGGAGCUUACGUUAGAAGAGAAAAAGGCCCGGGGCUAGGGUGAGCUGAGGGGGGACAGCGUAAGUGAGCGAAUGUGUGUAAGCCCAGUCAAACAUGACUGUUCUAGGCGGGGCGGGCCACCCACCUUCGAAUGGUGUUGGUCCCACGGACCGUGAACGGAUUUCGCCUCUGGCCUCUGGGCACGUCGGAACCGCAUGAGUUCACCGGGGUGGAGCACGGUCCGCCAAAAUCGGCAUAGGUUAGGUGCUAUUUAUGGAACAUGGUAAGCCUAUCUUUCUCCAUAUGGAAGUGCUGCGGGCAUAUAGAGAUGUGGGUAGAGGAAGCCUCAAAAAGCAAAGGCCGAGCUGUAGGUCA